rnacentral:tRNA from 1 species
GCGGGCGUAGCCAAGUGGUAAGGCAAUGGAUUGUGACUCCAUCACUCGCGGGUUCGAACCCCGUCGUUCGCC